rnacentral:miRNA from 12 species
AGCUGUACAAAUGUGACAUUUU